UACGUAGGGGGCAAGCGUUGUCCGGAAUCAUUGGGCGUAAAGAGCGUGUAGGCGGCCCGAUAAGUCCGCCGUGAAAGUCCAGGGCUCAACCCUGGAAUGCCGGUGGAAACUGUCGGGCUGGAGUCCGGAAGAGGCGAGUGGAAGUUCCUGGUGUAGCGGUGAAAUGCGCAGAGUAUCAGGAGGAACACCGAUGGCGAAGGCAGUUCUCUGGGCCGUAACUGACGCUGAGGAGCGAAAGCGUGGGGAGCGAACAGG
rnacentral:rRNA from 1 species